CACGUAGGGCGCAAGCGUUGUCCGGAAUUAUUGGGCGUAAAGAGCGUGUAGGCGGCCUGGAAGGUCAGCUGUGAAAACUCGAGGCUCAACCUCGAGACGUCGGUUGAAACCACCUGGCUAGAGUCCGGAAGAGGAGAGUGGAAUUCCCGGUGUAGCGGUGAAAUGCGCAGAUAUCGGGAAGAACACCCGUGGCGAAGGCGGCUCUCUGGGACGGUACUGACGCUAAGACGCGAAAGCGUGGGGAGCGAACAGG
rnacentral:rRNA from 1 species